rnacentral:rRNA from 1 species
ACGAACGCUGGCGGCGUGCUUAACACAUGCAAGUCGAACGCUGAAGCUCAGCUUUUGUUGGGUGGAUGAGUGGCGAACGGGUGAGUAACACGUGAGUCACCUGCCUCCUUCUUUGGGAUAACGCCCGGAAACGGGUGCUAAUACUGGAUAUUCACUGGUCUUCGCAUGGGGGUUGGUGGAAAGGGUUUUUCUGGUGGGGGAUGGGCUCGCGGCCUAUCAGCUUGUUGGUGGGGUGAUGGCCUACCAAGGCUUUGACGGGUAGCCGGCCUGAGAGGGUGACCGGUCACAUUGGGACUGAGAUACGGCCCAGACUCCUACGGGAGGCAGCAGUGGGGAAUAUUGCACAAUGGGCGCAAGCCUGAUGCAGCGACGCCGCGUGAGGGAUGGAGGCCUUCGGGUUGUGAACCUCUUUCGCUCAUGGUCAAGCCGCAACAAUGGUUGUGGUGAGGGUAGUGGGUAAAGAAGCGCCGGCUAACUACGUG